rnacentral:ribozyme from 1 species
UGAAAAACAAACAGAAAAAAUAAAAAACAAAAAAAGUAGAAAAAUGU